UGAGUCCUCCAGCCCCACAUCCCGAGGUCUUCCAGCACCUUAAGUGAGUCCUUCAGCCCCACACCGGGGUCCUCCAGCCCCACAUCCCAGUCCUCCAGCCUCGUGUCUCCUUCUCACACUCUUCGAUGCUCCUCAGCCUCUCCGCCUCCUCUUUCAGGCCAGUCCUCCAGCCCCACACCCCAGUCCUCCAGCCCCAUAAGUGAGUUUUCCAGCCCCACAUCGAGGUCCUCCAGCCGCACACCUCGGUCCUCCAGAACCCGAAGUGAGUCCUCCAGCCCCACAUCCCAGUCCUCCAGCCCCACAUCCCAGUCCUUGAGACGUGAAAUUGAGUCCUCCAGCCCCACAUCCCAGUCCUCCAGCCCCACAUCCCAGUCCUUGAGACGUGAAAUUGAGUCCUCCAGCCCC
rnacentral:lncRNA from 1 species